CUCGCCACCACGCGCCGCCGCCGCUGCCGCCUCACUCGCCGAGGAGCUCGCCCAUCUCCUCCCCUCGCCGCCACGCGCCGCCGCCGCUCCCGUCCAGCGCCGAGGAUCUCGGCCAUCUCCUCCGCUCGCCGCCAUGCGAUGUUGUUGCCUCGCUCUCCCAUCUCAUCCGUUCGUCGUCAUGCGCCGUCGCCGCCUCGCUCGCCGCCACGCAACGCUGCCGCCACGCUCGCCAGUCUCCGCCGCUCGCCCAUGUAUCAAAGCUAGUUAAUCCUCCACGAAACCCUCCACAAAAUGGCCAAUCCAGUCUCGACUUCCCUUGAUCUGGUGCAGCAGUCACGCGAUGGGUGAAGCUGCGGGGGCGCGCGAGCAGGCUCUCCCUUCUUCGACCUUAACCGGUGCCCGAAACGACGCGUUGCACGGUCCAGGCGGGACUGGUACGAACAUGCCCGUAGGCUGUUCGACCAAAGUUCUCACCGGCUCCUCUCUUCUCUUCGCCUAAGCCGACCGAGUGAUUACGUCGAUGGGGCCGCCGCCACGCAGGAGAGACCGGUUAUCUCGAGGCUCAUGAAUCCGCAGUCCUUCCUCUCCCAUCCCCGAGCAACAGUCAUCCCCGACGAAUCUGCUAAAUCGGGCGUGUUAUCAGUGACAUGGCUGCCAAUUUGAGGUUUUAUUCCAAGCCCAAACUCCUUAGUGAGAAUGAAGAUCCACAAAUUGGAGAUGACAAGCCAGCCAAGAGAAGGAGAACUGCCAGUACAACCACGAGGAAAUCAAGUUUAAAAAAGGCUCACAAGCUAAUGUUAAGGUGCAGAAUUCACAAGUUGCAGCUAUGUAAUUGAGAGUAACAGUGAAAUAUUUUGAUAUUGUAGUUGAUCUUGUUUUUCGUUUCUGCUGGUAGCAGUCUUUUUGUAUUGUAGUUCCAAUCUGAAUUAUUGAAUCUGUUUGGGAUGGAACUCGGGUAGUUUAUAACUGUUUACAAUACAAUUGUGGAUGAUAAUGUACUGUUGGGGCACACAAUUUGAAUACUACUACAUGUGAUAUUUUGGGGGCAGGUUAAUGAAGUGCGUCUAUUUGUUUUAAGGGCA